rnacentral:rRNA from 1 species
UGCGUAGGCGGUUUGAUAAGUUAGAGGUGAAAGCUCGGGGCUCAACUCCGGAACUGCCUCUAAUACUGUUGAACUAGAGAGUAGAUGCGGUAGGCGGAAUGUAUGGUGUAGCGGUGAAAUGCGUAGAGAUCAUACAGAACACCGAUUGCGAAGGCAGCUUACCAAACUAUAUCUGACGUUGAGGCACGAAAGCGUGGGUAGCAAACAGGAUUAGAUACCCCGGUA